UUGUAAUUUGCAGAGGGUGCUUUGGCGUUGGCCGUGGUCUAAGUUCCUUGGAACAGGACGUCACAGAGGGUGAGAAUCCCGUACGUGGCCGCCGGUCUUCGCCGUGUAAAGCCCCUUCGACGAGUCGAGUUGUUUGGGAAUGCAGCUCUAAAUGGGAGAUACAUUUCUUCUAAAGCUAAAUAUUGGCCAGAGACCGAUAGCGCACAAGUAGAGUGAUCGAAAGAUGAAAAGCACUUUGGAAAGAGAGUCAAAAAGCACGUGAAAUUGUUGAAAGGGAAGCGCUUGCAGCCAGACGUGCCCGCAGUUGCUCACCCAGGCUCUUGCCUGGGGCACUCUUCUGCGGGCAGGCCAGCAUCAGUUCGGGCGGUUGGAUAAAGGUCUCUAUCACGUACCACCCUUCGGGGUGUCCUUAUAGGGGAGACGCAACACGGCCAGCCUGAACUGAGGACCGCGCAUCAGCUAGGAUGCUGGCGUAAUGGCUGUAAGCGGCCCGUCUUGAAACACGGACCAAGGAGUCUAACAUCUAUGCGAGUGUUUGGGUGUAAAGCCCGGGCGCGCAAUGAAAGUGAACGGAGGUGGGAACCCUUUGGGUGCACCAUCGACCGAUCCUGAAGUCUUCGGAUGGAUUUGAGUAAGAGCAUAGCUGUUGGGACCCGAAAGAUGGUGAACUAUGCCUGAAUAGGGUGAAGCCAGGGGAAACCCUGGUGGAGGCUCGCAGCG
rnacentral:rRNA from 1 species